rnacentral:rRNA from 1 species
UACGGAGGGGGUUAGCGUUGUUCGGAAUGACUGGGCGUAAAGAGCUCGUAGGCGGUCUGUCGCGUCGGCUGUGAAAACCCGAGGCUCAACCUCGGGCCUGCAGUCGAUACGGGCAAACUAGAGUACUGCAGGGGAGACUGGAAUUCCUGGUGUAGCGGUGAAAUGCGCAGAUAUCAGGAGGAACACCGGUGGCGAAGGCGGGUCUCUGGGCAGUAACUGACGCUGAGGAGCGAAAGCGUGGGGAGCAAACAGG